rnacentral:rRNA from 1 species
AGUGAACGCUGGCGGUAGGCCUAACACAUGCAAGUCGAACGGCAGCACAGUAAGAGCUUGCUCUUACGGGUGGCGAGUGGCGGACGGGUGAGGAAUACAUCGGAAUCUACUUUUUCGUGGGGGAUAACGUAGGGAAACUUACGCUAAUACCGCAUACGACCUACGGGUGAAAGCAGGGGAUCUUCGGACCUUGCGCGAUUGAAUGAGCCGAUGUCGGAUUAGCUAGUUGGCGGGGUAAAGGCCCACCAAGGCGACGAUCCGUAGCUGGUCUGAGAGGAUGACCAGCCACAGGGGAAAUGAGAACCGGCCCAGACCCCUAGGGGGGGCAGCAGUGGGGAAUAUGGGACAAGGGGGGCAAGCCUGAUCCAGCCAUACCGCGUGGGGGAAGAAGGCCUUGGGGUUGUAAAGCCCUUUUGUGGGGAAAAAAAAGCAGCAGGUUAAUACCCCGCUGUUCUGACGGUACCAAAAGAAUAAGCCCCGGCUAACUUCG